rnacentral:rRNA from 1 species
GAUGAACGCUGGCGGCGUGCCUAAUACAUGCAAGUCGAGCGAACGGACGAUAAGCUUUCUUCUCUGAUGUUAGCGGCUGACGGGUGAGUAACACGUGGAUAACCUACCUAUUAUACUGGGAUAACUUCGGGAAACCGGAGCUAAUACCGCCUGAUAUUUUGAACCGCAUGGUUCAAAAGUUAUAGACGGUCUUGCUGUCUCUUAUAGAUGGAUCCGCGCUGCAUUAGCUAGUUGGUAAGGUAACGGCCUACCAAGGCAACGAUGCGUAGCCGACCUGAGAGGAUGAUCGGCCACACUGGAACUGAGACACGGUCCAGACUCCUACGGGAGGCAGCAGUAGGGAAUCUUGGGCAAUGGGCGAAAGCCUGACGGAGCAACGCCGCGUGAGUGAUGAAGGUCUUCGGAUCGUAAAACUCUGUUAUUAGGGAAGAACAGAUGUGUAAGUAACUGUGCACAUCUUGACGGUACCUAAUCAGAAAGCAACGGCUAACUACGUG